rnacentral:rRNA from 1 species
UACAGAGGUCUCAAGCGUUGUUCGGAUUCAUUGGGCGUAAAGGGUGCGUAGGCGGCGCGGUAAGUCGGGUGUGAAAUUUCGAGGCUUAACUUCGAAACUGCAUUCGAUACUGCCGUGCUUUGAGGACUGGAGAGGAGACUGGAAUUUACGGUGUAGCGGUGAAAUGCGUAGAUAUCGUAAGGAAGACCAGUGGCGAAGGCGAGUCUCUGGACAGUUACUGACGCUGAGGCACGAAGGCCAGGGGAGCAAACGGG